GCUCUCAAAAUAAGAGAUACCUCAACUCUCCCCUCAGAUGCAAAAAUAAAUUUUACAGAUAGACAUGUCAAUACAUGUUGUAUGGACUUUCAAACUGGGCAAAGUAUCCAUC